rnacentral:rRNA from 1 species
CAGCAGCCGCGGGAAUACGAAGGGGGCUAGCGUUGCUCGGAAUGACUGGGCGUAAAGGGCGCGUAGGCGGCUUGUACAGUCAGAUGUGAAAUUCCUGGGCUCAACCUGGGGACUGCAUUUGAUACGUAUGGGCUUGAGUGGAGAAGAGGGUUGUGGAAUUUCCAGUGUAGAGGUGAAAUUCGUAGAUAUUGGAAAGAACACCGGUGGCGAAGGCGGCAACCUGGUCUUUAACUGACGCUGAGGCGCGAAAGCGUGGGGAGCAAACAGGAUUAGAUACCCGUGUAGUCCCUGUCUCUUAUAC